CAACGCGUUGCCCGCCCGCUCGCCCGCUGUAUCAGCGCGCCGGUGUGAUGGGCCGCCUCCAGUGUGACAUUACCAGCCGUUAAAUAGGGCGCUCCUCCAAUACCCAGACUAGGUGGGUAACAAUUCACAGGAGAGGAAAUCGUUAAACGUGGCCAAUUGCCAUCAGGAGACCACUACAGACGUGAAAGGUGUGGAAAGGAAUUCGUGGCAUUCUAUUCCGAAGAGGGAGUCGCCAAGGCACAGAAUGCAAGUCGCGGACAAUCUGCAACGAUUUCUUCCUCAGAGACCCGGGUUCGAUCCUGAUUUCGGAUGCUGUCCGUGUGGAGUUUGCACGUUCUACCCGUUACCACCAGUCGGAGGAAGGGUCCUA